GACGAACGCUGGCGGCGUGCUCAACACAUGCAAGUCGAACGGAAAGGCCCUGCUUUUGUGGGGUGCUCGAGUGGCGAACGGGUGAGUAACACGUGAGUAACCUGCCCUUGACUUUGGGAUAACUUCAGGAAACUGGGGCUAAUACCGGAUAGGAGCUCCUGCUGCAUGGUGGGGGUUGGAAAGUUUCGGCGGUUGGGGAUGGACUCGCGGCUUAUCAGCUUGUUGGUGGGGUAGUGGCUUACCAAGGCUUUGACGGGUAGCCGGCCUGAGAGGGUGACCGGCCACAUUGGGACUGAGAUACGGCCCAGACUCCUACGGGAGGCAGCAGUGGGGAAUAUUGCACAAUGGGCGGAAGCCUGAUGCAGCAACGCCGCGUGCGGGAUGACGGCCUUCGGGUUGUAAACCGCUUUCGCCUGUGACGAAGCGUGAGUGACGGUAAUGGGUAAAGAAGCACCGGCUAACUACGUGCCAGCAGCCGCGGUGAUACGUAGGGUGCGAGCGUUGUCCGGAUUUAUUGGGCGUAAAGGGCUCGUAGGUGGUUGAUCGCGUCGGAAGUGUAAUCUUGGGGCUUAACCCUGAGCGUGCUUUCGAUACGGGUUGACUUGAGGAAGGUAGGGGAGAAUGGAAUUCCUGGUGGAGCGGUGGAAUGCGCAGAUAUCAGGAGGAACACCAGUGGCGAAGGCGGUUCUCUGGGCCUUUCCUGACGCUGAGGAGCGAAGGCGUGGGGAGCGAACAGGCUUAGAUACCCUGGUAGUCCACGCUGUAAACGGUGGGUACUAGGUGUGGGGUCCAUUCCACGGGUUCCGUGCCGUAGCUAACGCUUUAAGUACCCCGCCUGGGGAGUACGGCCGCAAGGCUAAAACUCAAAGGAAUUGACGGGGCCCCGCACAAGCGGCGGAGCAUGCGGAUUAAUUCGAUGCAACGCGUAGAACCUUACCUGGGUUUGACAUGGAUCGGGAGUGCUCAGAGAUGGGUGUGCCUCUUUUGGGGUCGGUUCACAGGUGGUGCAUGCCUGUCGUCAGCUCGUGUCGUGAGAUGUUGGGUUAAGUCCCGCAACGAGCGCAACCCUUGUUCACUGUUGCCAGCACGUUAUGGUGGGGACUCAGUGGAGACCGCCGGGGUCAACUCGGAGGAAGGUGGGGAUGACGUCAAGUCAUCAUGCCCCUUAUGUCCAGGGCUUCACGCAUGCUACAAUGGCUGGUACAGAGAGUGGCGAGCCUGUGAGGGUGAGCGAAUCUCGGAAAGCCGGUCUCAGUUCGGAUUGGGGUCUGCAACUCGACCUCAUGAAGUCGGAGUCGCUAGUAAUCGCAGAUCAGCAACGCUGCGGUGAAUACGUUCCCGGGGCU
rnacentral:rRNA from 1 species